CAAGGCCUUAGCGCCAGGUAUGAGAAUCUAUUUUUGAAUUCUUGGCUGCUGUUGUCCAAGAGACUUCCAAAACAUUUUGGGUUAUUUAUGUUGCUAUUGGUUACCCCAAAGGUGGACAUUGAUAAGUCCCAUGAAGACAUCAAGCACUUCAGACACAGGACCAGAGGAUUUGAACUAUAUGCAACCUGAAAGCCUCAUUCCUGAGGACCACCUUGCAUAAUAUGAGAAAGUGCCACAUGUACUUCCAAAGGAGAGAAGAAGCAACAGUCCUUCCUAGACCCAGCUGUACAUCCUGUGCACUGCAACAAUGACCAGAAUGGCAAGCGUGCCCUAUGGGUGGCCAUGCGAUGGCAUCAUAGGUUGCUGCAGAUGGUUUCAAUGGUUCUGUUGGAUGUUCUUCAUCUGUGCCUGCAAGAGGCGCCCAAGGCUUUAUGUAUGGCCAUUGCUAUGACCUAGUGUGAUGCUCUACUUUCCCGCUGAACUUUACUUGCUAGAACUGAGGAGCUUGGCUAUAAUUUAGCCUUUUCUUUUUGUAUUUAGCUGUUGUUGAGGAAGGAGCUUUGGGAAUAGAAGUAACCAGGCAGCAGGUCCAUUUUCACUGUUGAAGGCAGCUGAAAACUCAUCCCUACUGAUGUCCCACAGAAGCAGCAAGAAGCCUUUCUCUCUAUGAAGUAAUGACAGAUGACGACCAGCAAAGAAUGGUAAGGCAUACCAACAGCAUGCAGUGUCACUAGCAAAGACCAGUAUCAGCAAAGCAAAGACCAGCAAAGCAUGGCACUUCCAGAAAAACACCACCAGUCUGUCACCUAUCUGCUUCAUUAAAAACAUCCAUCCAUAAGACAGUUUCCAGAAAAAUAUCACAUGACCCGACUGAAUCCCUAAAGAAACC
rnacentral:lncRNA from 1 species